rnacentral:lncRNA from 1 species
UAACAAGACAUGAAGAGAGUUUGUUGCCUUUUGUCACCCCUGAAUCACCUGGAUGAGACACAAGGAAACAACCUGUGCCUGAGCUGGGAUUUGGAGGGAUACUACUGGACUCAGGCUCUCCAUCCAAUCCAGGCCAGCUCAGUCCUUCCCUUCCCUGAAGGCUUGGGAAGAGCUGUGUCCCCAGCCUCUGCCCAGAGCGCCCAUCACUCUGGCCACUGAACCUGGCAGAUGCAUCAGACACUGCAUUGGGAUGACUGCCAGGAUUCCUGUGGUGCAGGAGUCUGCAUAAAUAGGAGCCAGUAUACCAUGGUGCUCAGCAGCCUGAUUAUCAUUACAAAACCUUCUCUCCUCUUUAGCACUGCAUCUUCAUAUUAAAAAUAAUGUUCCUAUGCUUAGACUUCUUAUUUUUAGUGUACUAGAAACACAUAAUCUGUGAGUUGUAUGUAUAUUCAAU